AAAGUCGUAACAAGGUUUCCGUAGGUGAACCUGCGGAAGGAUCAAUACGAAUCAGAGAGUGGAUUGGGGGGGUUGAGAGUGGAGGAUGGUGCUUUGCACUUGCUUCCUCUUGCUCCCUCUUGCCCUCUACAUUGGCACAGGGGCCCCGAGCCCCUGAUGUUUACGCUUGAAUGUUUGACAGAACGAGAUGGUGACAAUCAGUGACAACUUUUAACAAUGGAUCUCUUGGCUCUU
rnacentral:misc_RNA from 1 species